CCAAAGAAUCUGCGGCAUCAAACAAGAGGCAUCUCGGUGUUAAAUGUGAAUCUGCUUCCAUCAAAUCAGAUUAUAGAACAAUUUUCAAUAUAUAUUGAAGGAGGUAGCUAUUUCAUGAUCAUUGUCAACAUCAACAUCAACAUGUAAGUAUCAAACUUGCAAUUAUGCUUCAAAAAGUUGUUUAACUAUAAUAAAAUUUUACUCUAGAUAUUUGAGUGCUAAACUUUGAAAUCUAUUACUUUGACUCAACUCCAACUUACAGGGAAAAGGGGUGGGGGAGUGAAAGCAUUAAAAUAGAAGUUAUAAGGUUUUACAAUUUCUUGGGCUAGAAUGAGUCUUUAGUUGUGCCUUCCAAUUGUUCAUAGGGGACAUAAAUGUUGAAUAUAGCAAAAUCUCAUAUAUACAUUUUUUUUUAAUUUGAUAUUCAAUAAAGCUAUGUUAUUUUGUUUAACAAAAAGAUUUACAUUUUAUCCCCAUAAAAUACCACAAUGUGAACCGUGUAAUAUGAUCUGUAUGGAUUGGCAUACGAGAUAAACAGAAGACAGCAAUGAAGUGAAGAAACAAGGGGUAAAAGUACCUUCUGUUAGGGAGUACAUGGGGGAGCUGGAUGUGUCCUCUUUUGAAUUGGAGUUAACCACAUCAUAUGAGCUUGGUUCUAAAUUUGCAGGUCUUGUUGUAGGUUCAAGUUCAUGUUGACGGUGAGAAGUACUUUCGCCUGUUGACAAAUUGUCUGAAUCACUUGGAGUCUCACUAUGUUCUACCAAAUUUUCUAGAGCACGACUUUCUACCUGAGCAUCUAAUAGUUUUUGGCUUUCUUGGUCUACAGAAAGAGCAGGAAUCUUUUUUUCAAUAAGCCUUGUACUUACUGUACUGGAACUGGGGUCCACAAAAGUCCUGUCUGGCG
rnacentral:lncRNA from 1 species